UAUAGAGACCAAACACCAAAACCCAAACUUGAAAAUUUCCAAAAUGAUAAUCAACAAAUCAUGGUAACAUGGAACACAGAAAUUAAAUGUAAUGCCCAAAUUCACAGGAGCAGCCGCCUGGAAGCGGGAAGUGGGGUGCACCUGAGCAUGCUUUAGGAAGUUCUGCACACGUUUACCCGCUUUGCAGCCAUCCCUUCCUUCCACUCCGCAGCACAGGAAAGGCAGAUUCUGAGCAUAACUCCAGAGCCCCAGCUUUUCCUACCAUUAAUCGUAAGAUUAGAUCCUGGAUACAGAAAUGCUAAAUGAUCAACAAACAUAGUUAGCUCUGAACUCAAAUGAAUGUUUUUUUCCUUUCCCUUUCAUUGAAGAGAGGGGAAAAAAAGCUUCACAUAGGACAAUGCCCUAUCCCCAUUUUUCCCCUCAUGUUGAGAAACAAAGACCAGUCAAUAAAAAUCUGGCUUCACAUGGUGCUCUUUGGAAAAUAUAUGCAAGAGAACAUCAAGGAUUAGGGGUAUUUCCUACUAGAAAAUCAAAAAAUAAACCAGAAGCCACUGGUUUUCUCUAUUUUUGUGGCCUAAUUACAUUAACCAUGGAAUACUAUGCAGCCAUAAAAAAUGAUGAGUUCAUGUCCUUUGUAGGGACAUGGAUGAAAUUGGAAAUCAUCAUUCUCAGUAAACUAUUGCAAGAACAAAAAACCAAACACCGCAUAUUCUCACUCAUAGGUGGGAAUUGAACAAUGAGAUCACAUGGACACAGGAAGGGGAAUAUCACACUCUGGGGACUGUGGUGGGGUGGGGGGAGGGGGGAGAACUCACCACACUUCUCUGGGAUACUGUGAAGGAAAUGUCUUGAUUUUGCCCCAUAUCUUUCCUUGUCCUUUGCAAUCCCAGAGAUUCAAGACCAUUUCAUUUCUUAUCUCGGCAGUCCUUUCUCCCUAAACUCACGGCCCACCAUCACCAUGACAGACAGCAAAGCAAUCUCACCUUUCUCUUUAACCUAUAAGCUUUAUGGCAAAAAGAUAAAACACCAUGGGAAACAGUGGAGGGAAAUGAGGGGGGAAACCCACCCUACUCUGACCUUGCCCUGCCUUCUCCAUUCUGCAUUUAGGUAACAGCCCAGAUAUUUUACACUUUUAGAACCAAUGAAAGAGACUUUUUAUGUAUACAUUCUCCAGUCGAGAUGGACCUACCUACUCAUAUCAAAGGGAGACAUUAAGACUCACGGUCAAAACAACUUAAAAAAAAUCAAAUGCAGGGUGGCACUAGUAUUUCCAUACAGGAGGAGAGUAUGGGGGUGAAAGAAAUUAGCAAAGAGGCCAUGCCUCACAGCAAGCAAACACACAUUAACUUAGACUGCAUUUAAGAAGGCCAGUGGGUAGCUGAUAGAGACUAUGGAGAGUCUGUCUACUUUUGCAUGCAUUACAUUUCCCUACAAAUGCUGUGAAGCAGGAUUUUCACAGGGCCUAAAUAUAUUUAUCUGAAAUAUUACAUUAUACUUUAUUUUAGCACCAUUCCAGAUUUUAAGAAAGAAAGAAACAGGAAAGCCAGUUGUUAAAGUAACUUCGCUAUUAAAUAACUUUUUUAUUUGGAGUUCCCCAUUUCAGAAGAAAAAUUAUUUAAAUAUUAAAAGCGGUUUUGUCAUGAAACUUAAAACCAACACAUACUAUUAUUCCUUCUCAAGGGCCCUGGGAAGAGCUAAAAAUGUCCCAUUGGAUUUGAUUCAUGCUCACCUAAAAGCAAGACUUGGGCAGGGAGUAAAACAAGUAAGGAAUAAAAUAUCGAAUGAGUACAGACCACCAUUUCUAAUAAUGAGGUCCCCAGACCCUUGAUAUACACAGCUAGGUUUAAAAUAUUUUCUGGAGUACCUCUAAAAGGUGACAAAACUAAACAAAAGCUUUGCUUGAGGUAAUCCUAAAUUUUAUGCGUAAAAUUGUUUUUUGCUCAAAUGUAAUAUUAACCAUUCUCUAAAGCACUGUGAAUUUCUUUAAAAUGCCACCUCACUUAAAGACUCCACAAACACAAAAGGACGUAGAUCCAUUUGUAACUGUAGUGGUGAGGGUCCUGCAGCUGUGAGUGAGGGGUGCUUGCUUGAGCAUCAGCCAAAACAAAGCUGACCCUGGCCAGUAAACCUAAGGAAAGUGCCGCACACCAGCACCACACUGGGCUUAGAAAAUGCUGCUCUCAGGCUCUCUCUGUCGCUGAGUGAGAGGCAGAAAGAGGAAGCGCUUAAAUAUUUAAUAAAUGAUUCUGCAAAGGCUUUUGAGCCUUGGCAUGAAGGGUUUGAAAGCACUAUCUACUUUACAUCCAUUGAGGCCACCACCAAAAUGGCUAUGAUCCAGAUUACAAGCGACUCAAGAAACUAGUUUUCCUUCCCUUUUUCUUCUUCUGAAGCUGAGUUGGCAGUGGCCUAUCUUGAAAUCUUUCAGAAUUGCUUUAAUCUUUCAUUUUAGUUUCGUCUGAAGCCACACUCAUGUCCACCCUCAGUGCCCUUGGUGUUGCCAGGCCUUGAGUCCUGGAAACAGGGAAAGCAUCCUUGGAGAAAUACAGAGAACAAGAAUGGAGAAAAGAAAACAAAGAUUUUUUUACAUAUGUUUUUAACACAGCCAAAUUUAACCAAAGUGUGCUCCCUGGUAGUGCUUUUAACUAACAAGCAGGCAAUAUAUUGCACUGUAAAAUGUUUUAUUUUAACACCUUACAGGUUUAGCUCUGUGGCUGUUGCAGGUAUAUCCAUUAAAAGCAACACAGACUAUAAAUCAGAAUUCCAUACCUUUUCACAGCAUAUGAAUCUAUUCUCCUGCUGGUAAGCACAUAGCUUUCACUGAUGCCGAUGGGGGUGACAUAUACUCAUGUAGGGAGAAUAGACCACUCUCUACAUGUGAAUUUAUGCUUUUAGACAGGUGGCUGUAUGUAGACAAGAGACACCAAUAAACAGAUUUUAUAGUAGCUGUUUAGAAACGGAUUCUGUGCUACAUAUCUACAGAGGAACAGUCAUCUUUUCCAAAGAGAAAUACAGAGGCAAACCCUUGGCAGACUUACAAUCCACAGUUCAGUACACCACAAUUUGGUACCCAUCGUCACACACAUCAAUGGUCAUUUGAACUGAGCUUGACCAAUCCCCAAUGCCUUAAUAAACUAACAGUAUUUCUGAAAUUCCAAUUAUGCUGAAUCUAACUCAUCCCUGCUAUGAAAACAUAGCAAACACUGCAUGGAAAAGGCAAACGUUAACUUUUUAAUGUUCUGUGUCAUAUACAUACCUACCUGAACACAGGGUGCAGAUUCUCAGAGGAAUAGGUUUUUCAUGAAGUAGAAAUCUUUUAGAUCACUGCUAAAGGGACUCAUACAUUGGCUUUAAGGGAAUAUAUAUACUUCUUACGUUUAAAAAAAUAAAUACUAAAACAGCCUGUCGCGUAUGGAUUCUGUGUGGUUAUUUUAUGUAUUUCAUUUCUUUGAAUGACAUUUACUUUGAUUUUCUUUCUGCAUUUUAGUCACUUCUAGAAAGGGAUCCCAGGAAUAAUGCAAAUUACAAAAGCAGAUGUAGAAAAUAUUUUUUAAAAGAUAUAAUUAAACAAACCAAAACUAUAAAGUGUGUUCUGUCUCACAAGAGAAUCCUAGCUGGUGUGUAGGAGUGGAGGAAGUGGACUCAGGACAAAUAAAAAUUCACUGCAUUUUUAACAUAUAAACUAAUCAUUCCUCUCUCUUCCAGUGUAAGUCACGAG
rnacentral:lncRNA from 1 species